rnacentral:rRNA from 1 species
UAGAUGCGAGAGUAGAGCAUAUCAAUAAGCGGAGGAAAAGAAACUAACAAGGAUUCCCUUAGUAACGGCGAGUGAAGCGGGAAGAGCUCAAAUUUGAAAUCUUCAAGGUUCUACCUUGACGAAUUGUAGUUUAAAGAAGUGUUUUCUGUUAGAUGAGUGGCAAAAGUUCCUUGGAAUGGGACAUCAUAGAGGGUGAGAAUCCCGUAUUUGGUUAUUCAUUCUAGCUUUGUGAUACACUUUCAAAGAGUCGGAUUGUUUGGGAAUGCAGUCCAAAAUGGGUGGUAAAUUUCAUCUAAAGCUAAAUAUUGGCGAGAGACCGAUAGCGAACAAGUACCGUGAGGGAAAGAUGAAAAGAACUUUGAAAAGAGAGUUAAACAGUACGUGAAAUUGUCAAAAGGGAAGCGUUUGACACCAGUGUUGUUUUUCCGAAAAUCAAUUACGAAUGGCUUGAUUUUGUGUUGUAUUGACCUUAUCAGCUUUCUGCACUUUUUUCGAGUCUUUCUUAAUGCACUUUUCGGUUAACAAGUCAACAUCAAUUUCUUUUGUUGUAAAAGAGUAUUCGGAAGGUGGCUUUCUUUUCGGAGAAAGUGUUUAUAGCCCUAUACUUCUACAAUCGGAGAGAUUGAGGUCUGCAGCGUAGAUCCUUCGGGGUUAGAUACAUUUGUGCUAAGUUGUAGCUUUUCAUAGACAACUUGUUGACUAUGUUUAGUCAUGCGGCUUACUCGCUUAGUGCUAUUUUACCUACGCUUAGGAUGUUGAGCGCAUGUCUCUCUCU